rnacentral:rRNA from 1 species
GCUAAGAAAUGUUGGAUUACUAAGCUCGUCCGUUGAUGAAGAAUGUAGCUGGCUGUGAGAAAUAGCGUGAACUGCAGAACACAUUGAUCACAAAGACUUUGAACACUCUUGAUGCCCCGGGUUCCUCCAGGGCACGGGUGUCA